AUCGAGGCAGGCAUGAAAACAUGAAAUCAUCAUACAUAGCCUAAGAUCAGGGUGGGUAUGAAUACUUCUAAAAAAGUGGGAUACAUUUGAGAAAAAUACUCAUCAAUCUGCGGGGGACAUUUAAUCCCUGAGCACUUCCACAGCUAUCAACAAUGGAAGGGGGGCUUCAGCAAGAUGUUACUUCUCAAAGUGGAUGCUGUCCCUACCAUUAACGUGGCUUCGAAAGCAUCUCAAACAGCCACCAGCACCUGCAGAGACCGUGAGCAUUAUCACUGGCAUGGAAGUGAACUGACUACUUAACAACCACUGAUUUAUAAACUCGAUGGGUUAGGAAAGCAGGAGCUUUCCCUGUCACGGACGUCGUUGUGGAAAUGACCGGACCAAUGUGCAGCGUGGAUAUAGAAGAUGAUAUGGUCUGCUGUUGUUUCCCAAGGCCAAGGGAUACCGAAGUUCCUGAAAAGGCAUUCAGUUCCUACAGUGAGCGUCAGGGAACCAACCUAUGGUGGGCCAGAUGGAGACCAGGACAACAACACAAGUAGUGGACAAUCCAGCCUACCUACAGAGGAGGAAUAGUGAACAUCGGAGACGACGAGGUGCCCAAUGAAGACCUCCGUGGCCUGUCUGUCAGAUGUGUCUUCCUCCCUUCCUGGCUGUACCAUCAACGCUCCCUAUGCUCAAGAUACUGACUUUCUGAACUGCCUGACAUCUAAAGUUGUGGAAGACCAUCGCCCAAGAACUGCCAGAUCUUCCUACAUUUGUUUUGUUAAAUUGUUUUCUGUUAGUUUUGUUAAAUUGUUUUCUGUUAGUUUUGUUUUCAAAGUGAGUUUGAGAUUCAACAUGUAACGAAAAUCACUAUAUAAAAUAAAUCUAUUAUUAUUACUAUUCAACAUACCAACAAGACUACUUCCUCAGUGACCGUGAUGAUCUGGAGUGCAUCUCACCAUUGAGAGAGAAAUGCGACAGUCCUUACAGAAGGACAAGAGAUAGAAAACACAAAAGCUCUCUUAUUCUCCUUCAUCAUCACGACU